rnacentral:pre_miRNA from 1 species
UCUUAUGGAUGAGCAAAGAAAGUGGUUUCUUGAGAUGGAACUUACUUCCAGUGAAGAUGCUAUGAA